CUAUAUUUGAGCAUGCAAGACAUGUUAAUUCUGAUAUAUCUAUUGAUCUGCCAUCUGUAUUUGUGUAUGGGCUGGGUUAUUUAUAUAUAUGUGGAAGAAGUGUUCUGAUAGACGACAUUUCGCUAUUAUUCUGGUAGCAUGACUGCGUUUAUUGUGAUAAAUGUCGUACGAACACUAUGUGAUGUGUAGGGCUAGGUGGGUGUUUUAUACCUUACGUGGUGUGAUGUGAUGGUCGGAGUUAGUGUGUAGAGAAUGGGGUAGCACUUUGCAUAUCUAUAUGACUCUGUUAAUCUGGUUCUGUUAAGGACUUAUGUCCAUAUCUGUUCUGUAUGUGAUAAAUCAGAGUAUAUGUAUGUAUGUUUCUGUAAGUUACACAUUGAGUUUAUUUGAAAACUCAUGUCUGUUGUUUACUCUGUUCAGGUAAUCCUUAGACGUAGGCAGGUCUGUGCGACGAAGGCUCAGUGGUGACCACUAGUCUGGGAACUAUUUUAAGGGCACUACGGAGGAAAUGCUUUCAAAAUUACAACAUUUGUGGUGGGCUAGCAAGGAGAAAGGGAGAGGAUGGGACAAUAGCAUUAGAAUCGAUGUGGAUAAUUGGGGGUUUGAAGGCCUUGAUGAGAAUUGGCCACGAGCUGCUCCCCACGAAUGCCAAAAUUUCCUCCAUUAAACAGAAUGCUAGACGGGACUGCUAGUGAAGAAAUUGUUAUUCAUGCACUCAAAAGACUGCCUGAAAGCCCGUGCCAUUCUUGCCUUCGGUGGUUCGAUGGUAGGCUCCUUGACAUAGAGCAUUGUCGAUGUAUUGAUUGGCUUGAAGAUGCUAUGGGAUUUUUAGACAAAAAAGCCUUUGAAGAUUUAAUCACGACUCUUUGGAAUGGUUAGAACAAUCGCAAUAAUUCUAUCUUUCGAGGGAAGGAGGAAGAGGCUUGGAUUGUUUGGGAUAGAGCGAAGAUACUUAGUGAUGACUUCCGUAUUCACAACACGGUUAACAAGCCGCUCCUUCCCUUGGACCCUAGAGUUCAGAAAUGGGAGAAGCCCCCGAUUGGCUAUGUGAAAAUUAACGUGGAUGUAGUAGAAACGGACAAUAAAAUUGGCUUUGGGGUUAUUAUUCGGGAUUGUGAUGGUUUUGUCAUCGGUGGUGGCACGGGUUUCAAAUACGAACUUACGACGUCUGAAUGGGCGGGCUUAUACGCUCUUGAGGAGGGAGUCCUUUUAACUCACUCUUUUAACGUUGAAAAUGUCAUUUUCGAAACCGACUGUGCUAGUAUUGUUAAUCGAAUCAGAAAACGUAAUAAAGACAUCACUGUCAUUGGCCAUCGCAUCAAAGAAAUUCGUAGAUCGAUGGAGUUAUUCUCUAAAGUGGAGGUCAAUUGGAUUAACCGAAGCUGCAAUAAAGUGGCUGAUUUUAUUUGUAAUUUUGCGCUUUCGAAUAGCUGUAAUAUGUCUUUUGGCAUGGAUUAUCCGAAGGAUAUUCAUGAUUUUG